rnacentral:lncRNA from 1 species
CUUUGCUGAAAGUAAAGUACCCUUGAUCACGGGAGUAUCGUCAGAUUGUGGAUGCAGGAGCAAGAGAACCUGAUGGAUGCUGAGGAGUGCCUGACCCAAAUUAUGAAGCCCAAGAUGGAGCUGGAGAGGCAGAUCUCAGACAUGUAGGAGUGGCUGGAGGAGGAGGAAGAAGAGGAAGGCACAGUGGCUUCCCUGAGUGCCAGCAAGUGUAAACUACAGGGAAUCUGAGCAACCAGAAGCAGGAUCUGGAGGGCCUGGAAACCACACUGGCCAAGACAGAGAAAGAGAAGCAGGCCCUGAAUCACAGGGUCCACACCCUGAAAGGGGACCUCUUCCCCCACGAAGACAACAUUCCCAAGCUCCAGAAGGAGAAGAGGGCCCUGGAGGAGCUGCACCAGGUAGGCUCUCCUGGCAUUUUCCUGUGGCAGAGCAGAUGGAGUUGGUAUAAUAUAUUUUACUCCUGGAGAUGAGAUGGCAUCCAGAUCUAGACCAUGCUCCUUCAGGUAGAUGCCUCAGGAAAGACAAAAAUAUCCCCA